GCGUCACUUCCGCCCCGCCCCAAGGCGUGCAAGAAACUGGAGACCCUUCGGGAGGGGCCUGCAGGAGGCUCGGACGCUGGAGUUUAAAGCCUGUCAGCGGGCGGAGCUUUGCUCCCCCAACCUCCUGGUCAUCUCUGGUUCGCGCUCCCGGCUCGUGGUUUCCUCGUGGCCCAAGAGAGAGAAUGAUAGAGAGCAUGAGAGGGAGGAGUGUCAGAGGGAGAAGCAGACUCCCUGCUGAGCAGGAAGCCUGAUGUGAUCCUGGGACUCCAGGACCAUGACCUGAGCCGAAGGCCGUCGCUUAACCAACUGAGCCACCCAGGCACCCUACAGACAAGAUCUUAACUACAUCCACCUUCCUAUAGGAGCACAGAGACAGCGAGAGAGGGAACACAGCAGAGGGAGUGGAAGAGGGAG